rnacentral:miRNA from 1 species
ACGGGGUGUGGGACCCGG